UACACCUUAUGUUGAUCACCAAAAGGCGGUUACUAUUAGGAAUGAUGUUAAUCUCAAGAAAGAAACUUUGAAAGUUGAACCUGAUGAACAACACCCUGGGAAGUUUCUUGUUGUUUUUACUUAUGAUGCCACUGGCAGUAUGCUGACCGCUUACCAAUUGGAUUAGAGAAAGUGAUCCGGACAGUUUCUCCUGAAAUCGUAAAUCGAUUAUACACAAAAUGGUACAAUUUGCAGAAUAUGGCUGUCAUUGUUGUUGUUGGAGACUUUUCUGAUACGAAGAGUGUUGUCGAUUUAAUAAAGACCCACUUUGGUAGUAAAGUAUUCGCCACUGAUUACGUGGAUAUACCUAGAUUUCUAGUCCCAUCUCACGAGGAGCCUCGUAUUUCAUGUUUUAUGGAAUCUGAAGCUGCUGGGGUUAGUGUUAUACAGUUUCCAAUAAACUGUAGUCUCAUUACAGGGGAAUAUAAUUUUAAAAUCUGUAAACUAUGGUGUCAAGUUCUAAGAGUUUCUUGCAAGCCGGUGUGGUGGUUUAGUGAACACACUUUGUCUCUAAUCAAAAUAAUUUUACAGUUUCAUCAUCGAUUCGUAAUAACCAGUUAUGCUAGUGGGUUCGUCACUUUGAAGAUGGCACCUGGGAAUACAUCAAUGCGAAAUUUCUCUCAUUACUAGAUCCAGGCGACUUUUAUUUAGGAUGAUCCAAUUACCAAAUAACGGUCGGUCACACACAAGAUAUUUUCAUGGACGAGAAAUAUUCCAAGAAUUUGUCGAUUGAAAAGUUGAAGUUGCUUAGUUAUCAAGGAGCUCGUUAAGGAAAAAAGAUGAAGAAAUAGAAAGGUUAGAUGGAAUUAUUGCGGUGCUUAUGGCUGAAAUAAAAAAAGAAGAUAAUGUGGAUGAAGAUGCUAUGCUCAAUAGAAUGUCACAAAUUUAAGCUAUGUUAACAGCUACGGUUCGAAGAUAAUUUUGGUUAUUUGAUUGUUUUGAUUGUUUCGAUGUUUUGAAUGUUUCGAUAAUUUUGGUUAUUUGAUGUUUUAGUUAGAAUUUUUAUUAAAAUGUUGUAUAUGAUUUUGAAACUGGGAAAAUUGAAAUAGAAAUGUUUUAUAUAAUUUUGGGAUGUUGUAACU